UGUGAGGAUACUGGAAAGGACAGCUAAC
rnacentral:piRNA from 1 species